AGGCAGGGAGACCACUUAAGACCACUUAAGACCCAGCAGUUUUGGGGAAAGAUGGUUUAGGCCUGAAUCAAGACAGUGGGGUGUGUGUGUGUGUGUGUGUGUACAGAGGAUGGGUUUAAGAGAUAUUUAGGAAGUGAGUGUGAGACAGGAUGUGUUGCUUGGGGGAGAGGGGGAGAGUCCCAGAUGACUCCUAGGAGUCUGCCUGGUGUCAUUGAAUGAGAUGAGGAAUUAAGACGGAAGUGGGUUUGGGGUGGGGCUAUAGAGAUAAGGAAUUUAGUUGUGGAUGUUGUGUUUGAGAGGCCUGCGGCACAGCCAGGUGUGUUCAGGAGGCAUCUGGAGUUGAGGGUCAGGACCUCAGAAGGAGAAACAGCACCACCAAGUUAGCUUUUUGCCACUUCCGCCCUGUUUCUUCCCAAGCCCCGUGCCCGCCGAAGGAUGCCUUCCCCAUUGCUCUCAACAGUGGAUGAAGGCCAGUAUUGAAUACCGAACUCAAACCACCCACAGUACUGUCAUGUGCUUGUCAGCAAGGAUAACAAGGUCCCCCUGAAUUGUGUGCCCAGAAAAAUUUUUCUUUUUUAAGCAGGAGAAUAGCAAUGACAUCUCUGGAGAAUCAGAAGGAAAAGGGUGACAGCAAGCAGAUGCCAUAGUUUACGUCAGAUCUGUUAACAAGCUCCCUUUUCCCCUUCUCUAAAAACAGAGUCUUUCUGACGCUCUAAGUAGCAUGUAUUUUAGCAGGUAUUAUAAAUGCCUGAGUUGAGGCAUUUAAAGGAAAACAUAAAUCUGAGUCAGACUUCUGUGGAGGAAAAAAGAAAUCAACACCUAGAAGGGAAGUUAAGGUAACAUUACUGCUGAUCUGCCCCCAGCAUGACAAUGCUUCUUUAUACCUGACACCCCAAGAGAUAACUUCAUGUACUGCAGGUGCCCAUUCUUGUCAAUUGUCCCUGCUGGGCAAGUGAUGAGAACCAAUGUCAGUUGGCAACAGGGGUGUUAAUAAUCACUACAGACUUACAAGGAGGCAUUUCAUAAACUUCCUCAGCAGAGUUCAUGUGAGAGGGUAAUUGGCAGGGACCUGGCCUCCCGGAAGGCGCCUUGCAUUCAGGUGUGCGAUUCUGUUGAAUGCUUUGAUGGGAACAGAUACGGUCUCCUGGUGCUCAAGCCACUACAAAAUUGCUCUUUGUAUUGAAAACAGGUUGAUGUGAGUUCUGUCUCUAGACUAAUGCAGGAGAGGAAGCAGUUCCUAGUCAAGAGGCAUUAGCGAGGUGACCAGUUGCCUUUGUCCACUCCUGGUUGGCUUCACCAAAACGGCACUAUCUCUUUGUCGUCCCAUUUUGGCCUCUUUUCCCCUUUCACAUAAGGAAGAACCUUCCUUCACUUCAGACCCUUCGGGUUGAUCCGUAAGUGAGCUCUGCAUGCACUGUCAAGGGGCAGUGAUGAAGCUGUGGACGGAAAAUAGGGCAAAGAAGGAGAAAGCAGACAAAAGGCAGAAGAGGAAAGCGGGGAGUCUUACGUGGAGAAGGCAUUGUUCUGUUUCUCGCAUCGGAUCCCCUUGCAGUUGUUGGGCUCAUCGAUUGCUCUGGUCUCAUAAUAAAAGUAAAGCUGGUUCAAUCCAUUGGCAAAAGCCAGCAGUACCAGGCAGUAGAUAAAGAGGAAUUUGAGGAUAUCAAGCAACAUGCGCCCCAAAGAGAUCUGCAGAGGCCCUAAGUGGGAGUUGGCUGUGAAGAGGGAUAUGAGACGCAACGAACUUAAAAUGUUGGAUAUCGCAAAGAGAGCUUCUGCAAUCAGAGUUGGGUGCCACAUUUCCCAUUCUUCCCUUGGACGAGAACCAUUAUACUGGAAGAAACAACAAGUGCACAAGAUGAGAGGCACACCUGUAACCACAGGGAAGCCUUCUGCUCAUGGGCUGGUGAGUUUGGAUUUGCAGGACAGUCAAAAGUGUGAAAGGUUCCCAGAUGAUGCUGACGUUGCUGGUUUGGGGACCACAGUUCGAGCAGCAAGGACUUGGAGGAUGGAAAUGCAUUGGAGGGUCCAAUGCAAUGGAAUUAUGCCUGGAGGCUUCUGGGAUCAGCUGACUUCAAGCUGGGGGAUCCACAGCUGCAAACACUUCUUCCUUUAGUUCAUUUGGAGGAAAAGAAAAUCUAAAAGGGGCCAGCCUUAUGGUGGACUUUUAAUCAUGACUUAAUGAGCACUCUACUGUGUGCCAGGUACUUUGUAUUUUUGUUCAUUCCUUUAAUCCUUAUUCCUCAUGAUGACUGUAUGAAGGAGGUAUUAUUACUAUUCUACAGAUGAAGAAUCUGGGCCACAGAGAGACUGAAGAACAAGUCUUGAGCCCAGGUCUGAGUACACCAUUGAUGCUCUAACCCAGGGGCCAUCAAACUGGGGGCCAGAUGGAGCCUGUCUCCUGUUGGCGUAAAUAAAGUUU